GCUACUUAUGCUUUAGUUCAUCCUUGCAAUUUAAGAUUCAACUUUCAAUUUCUAGUUUUACAUCCUCUUCAACUUUCAAUUCCAAUAUUAUGUUAUUUUAAUUUCAAAGUUCAAUUUACAAUUUUCUAUACUUUAAUAUUUAGCCGUCAAUUUAAAUUUCAAUUUCAUGCUCUUGUAAAUAUUUCAAUUUUCAACAAUUACAUUCUUUCAUUUUCAAAUUUCAAUUUACAAUUUCCUGCACAUUAGCAUCCAACAAUCAAUUUUCAGUUUCAAUUCAACACUACUGCACAUAUUAUAAUUCUAAUUUGCUAUCACGACCCAACCUAUGGGCUGGA
rnacentral:misc_RNA from 1 species